rnacentral:rRNA from 1 species
GACGAACGCUGGCGGCGUGCUUAACACAUGCAAGUCGAACGGAAAGGCCCUGCUUUUGUGGGGUGCUCGAGUGGCGAACGGGUGAGUAACACGUGAGUAACCUGCCCUGGACUUUGGGAUAACUUCAGGAAACUGGGGCUAAUACCGGAUAGGAGCUCCUGCUGCAUGGUGGGGGUUGGAAAGUUUCGGCGGUUGGGGAUGGACUCGCGGCUUAUCAGCUUGUUGGUUGGGGAGUGGCUUACCAAGGCUUUGACGGGUAGCCGGCCUGAGAGGGUGACCGGCCACAUUGGGACUGCGAUACGGCCCAGACUCCUACGGGAGGCAGCAGUGGGGAAUAUUGCACAAUGGGCGGAAGCCUGAUGCAGCAACGCCGCGUGCGGGAUGACGGCCUUCGGGUUGUAAACCGCUUUCGCCUGUGACGAAGCGUGAGUGACGGUAAUGGGUAAAGAAGCACCGGCUAACUACGUG